AUGACUAAGAGCUCUCCUCAAUGUAUGCAGGUACUGCCCAGACCGUAAAGAAGCUAAUUGAUGUUAAUAUACAGUUAUAUCUUUCUGAAUUUAUUUUGAGGGCAAAUGCUCGAGUCGCCGAGUAAAUGUCCAACUCGGUCUGUUUUCAGUGCACAUAUAUCAUUUCCUCAAUUUGAUGGAAAUUAGCGGCCACUUCAAUUUUCUUGUCUGCAUUUUCUUUGCAAUCAGCAAGGAAACCUAGGACAGAUGUACAUUUCCUCAUGUGAAUUCUAGUCCCUAGAUUGUUUGUGGCUUUGGGCAAUAUAAAGAAUUGGAGAAGUUUGCUAUAUAGGUUUGGAUAGAAUAUCAUAGCUGUAUCUACAACUGCUUAAUCUUUAAUUUGUAGUUGAAAUUCUGCACACAUCUCUCUGUAUUUGUUCACCUUAUCCGCUAUCAUGCACCAUAACUUUAUAAAUGAAAAUAUCCUAGUAAAGUUUCGACAGCACUAACUUUCCAAAAAUAUACAGUUUCUGUAUAUCAAGGUUGUCUUCCAGUGAUUCGCUCCUUGUUCAAGUGCUGGCAUACAUAAACUUAAACCACAAAAAAAUGUGUACACAUGUGUAUAGCUCUAAACAUAAAAAGCCUUUAGAAUCAUGCGUAGCUUUACAAAAUGCCGGACUGGAUUCUGAAUAUGCUAGAUAAUACCAUCUUCCACACAUGGUAAUAUGUUGUACCGCACCACUGUAUACACAAGUGUGUAAUUUUUUGGGUGGCUUCCUCCACCAAAACAAAAGGCUUGUGCACGACUGAUGCUAUCCAACUAGACUGUGUAAUAAUCACUGCUGAUUUUGCAUGACAGUGGGUUGUCACAGAUUUGCAACAGAGCUGAGCAGUCGUGUAGCGUCGCUGGUUCGUGUUCAUUAGUGUCAGGUUAUGGUAGCCGUUGGCAUGUUUCUUGGUGCGGUAUGCAUCUCCUCCCACCACGGCGGUCGACAACCAAGUCUAGCCGCCAUAACUCUUUAGUAUCACCCCCUCUCUCCGAUUUACAUGAGUGUGUGUCAAUUUAUUCUCCCAUGGCAAGUCUCUGUCCAUGUUAGGUUACAUUAGUAAGAAAUUUAGUUAUCUGAAUUUAGGUAGGUAAUUUAUAUUUAGUAUCUCCAUGAACUCACUCACGAUAUAGAUAAUAUUUUGGAUUGAAGUAAUGAUGUAAACUGCAACUAUACAAACCAAUACAUGUAGUUCAGGUCGAAAUUCGAAGGUGGUGUUACACCUUGGCUAAAUUUUUGUGUAUGCUGCUAACUUUAGGAUUGUUUUACACUAUUCUUUGUUGUAAACAAACCAGGUAAUGUCGUGAAAUCCAAGAGUUUUUCAGAUUUCUAUUUACGGCAUGAUUUACCUCCAAUUCUUUGCAUGCGCGGUUUUCAUUUUGAUGACUCUCAGCUGCCAGACAAAAUAGAGAAUGUUGCUGUAAAAUGCAUGACAACCAUAUACUCCCUCUAUUCCCAAAUAUUUGUCUUUCUAGACAUUUUAAAUGGACUACAACAUACGGAUGUAUGUAGACAUAUUUUAGAAUGUAGAUUCGCUCAUUUUGCUUCGUAUGUAAUCACUUGUUAAAAUCUAUAAAAAAGACAAAUAUUUGGUAACGGGGGGAGUAAAUAGUGACUGCAUGUUGUUUUAAUCAAUCCAUUUUUCUAUUGUAGCAACACUUUAUUGUUAUCCUAGUUGUGCGAUAAUUUACCGUUUCUAUGAAUCAAUUUCAGGUGCUCCUUUUUAUCAUGAUUACAUCAUGUGGUAGCCUGCUUUUUAAGGUAUUUAAGUUUUGAUGCUAUGUACUCCCUCCGUGUCCAAAAAUAAAUCUUUUUAGAGAUUCCAAUAUAGAUUACAUAUGGAACAAAAUGAGUCACUCUAAAAUAUGUCUAUACAAAUCCGUAUGUAGUUCAUAGGGAAAUCUCUAAAAAGACUUAUAUUUAGAAACGGAGGGAGUAAUUCAUAUGCAUUGGAUGGUGUGUGAACAACUUUUAAUCUUGAUCUCUUUUAUUUCAUGCUUAUCCAAUUGUAGCUCGCACAGUUUGAUACACGGCAUGGUUUAGGUUGCAUUGAAACGGUAGUUACAGAGCUCGGCCUCUUUGUCUUGUUUCUCUGUUUACUAUUGAUUCAUACAUGUAGCCAGCGUGUUCAUGUGAUUUCUUGUACGUCCAAACUUCGCUUGCUAUAUAUUUGAUAUUGAUUCUUUUUCAGCUUAAGGUAGUAAAGCCCCAGUCUACCUUCAAGUGUGAUUCAUAUGUUCUUGUUUGUUCGUGGUCUCUACCUGUUUGUUCUUCUGAGAACUAAACAUAUUAUGUUUCUUCAGGUCUCUAUUCAAGUGGAUGACGGGAAAUGUAUGAGGGAUAGAGAGGAAUAAGUUUUCUGGAACACGUCUUUGUAGUGUAUGGUGGGUACAAGUAAUGUUAGAUUCAAAAUUUAGAGCUUUUGCCAAUAAUAAGUAGCAAAAUUCAGGAUUGCUGAGAAGGGAGGUGAACCUAAUGGCUUCAGUACUAUUGUUACGAUACUAUGUUGCUUCCAGGCUAUCGAUGAGAAUAGUUCAGUCGCUUUAGAGAUUGUUGAACAUAUGAAAUUGAUUGUAAUCUCUGGGCACCCUCAAGUUAAGCUGCUUGAAGACCAAGUUCAAAUAUGUGUGAGGGCAGUGUGGUUGGGCAUGCGAGUCAAUUGCACCUGAUGUAAUCAGACCAUUAGAUCUGUUUUGAAAUAGUGAUC
rnacentral:lncRNA from 1 species